rnacentral:rRNA from 1 species
GAUGAACGCUGGCGGCGUGCCUAAUACAUGCAAGUCGAGCGAACGGACGAGAAGCUUGCUUCUCUGAUGUUAGCGGCGGACGGGUGAGUAACACGUGGAUAACCUACCUAUAAGACUGGGAUAACUUCGGGAAACCGUAGCUAAUACCGGAUAAUAUUUUGAACCGCAUGGUUCAAAAGUGAAAGACGGUCUUGCUGUCACUUAUAGAUGGAUCCGCGCUGCAUUAGCUAGUUGUUAAGGUAACGGCUUACCAAGGCAACGAUGCAUAGCCGACCUGAGAGGGUGAUCGGCCACACUGGAACUGAGACACGGUCCAGACUCCUACGGGAGGCAGCAGUAGGGAAUCUUCCGCAAUGGGCGAAAGCCUGACGGAGCAACGCCGCGUGAGUGAUGAAGGUCUUCGGAUCGUAAAACUCUGUUAUUAGGGAAGAACAUAUGUGUAAGUAACUGUGCACAUCUUGACGGUACCUAAUCAGAAAGCCACGGCUAACUACGUG